rnacentral:tRNA from 1 species
UCCCUGGUGGCUCAGAUGGUAAAGAAUCUGUCUUCAAUACAGGAGUCCUGAGUUUGAUCCUUGGCUUGGGAA